GCGGUCACGCAAAGCGAGGCUGCCGGCUCCCGGCUCGGCGCAAGGCAGCCUGGGAAAUGUAGUUCCCUCUCUUCGCUUGGACCCGCGUGGGCACCCCAAGACUCCGCGGAACGCAGCCCCACCUCCACGUUAGGUUGGAAGCUCCGCUUUCAUUCGGUCUACGCAGAUAAAUCGCUCUUGAUGGUGGGGAUGGGGGUCUGGUGAGUGGAUGCGGAGACCCCCAGGAGCUGACGGGGACUACAUUUCCCAAAAUGUCGCGCGCUGGGCUUCGUUCCGCGCUGAGUAGAGACCCGUGAUUGAGAUCUUCCCUGUCGUUUAGAAGAGGGUGCUGGGAGUGCUGUGAGCAGAGAGGAAAAACAGAAUCAAGCGGAGGGCAAUAGAAUUCCAGAGCUGCAUAUCCCUUUGGACCUGAUGGAUAAAGAAAGGAGCCAUAUGCCUCUUAGUCAUAAAAAGAGAACAUUCGAAGGACCAUUCAAGCAAAUACGUCUAAGCCACUGAGAUAUUGUUAAUUGGCGAAGACAGAUGCAGAGAGGAGCUCAGACAGAAGGAGCUGAGAUUUUCUAUUCCUCAUCUGAAGGUGCCUGGGUUCCAGGAGAUCAACCCCGGAAACCUGGCCAAUUAGCUGUCGAUGUCGCUCAAGAUCAAAACACCACCUGUGA